UAGGGAAUCUUCCACAAUGGACGCAAGUCUGAUGGAGCAACGCCGCGUGAGUGAAGAAGGUUUUCGGAUCGUAAAGCUCUGUUGUUGGUGAAGAAGGAUAGAGGCAGUAACUGGUCUUUAUUUGACGGUAAUCAACCAGAAAGUCACGGCUAACUACGUGCCAGCAGCCGUGGUAAUACGUAGGUGGCAAGCGUUGUCCGGAUUUAUUGGGCGUAAAGCGAGCGCAGGCGGAAUGAUAAGUCUGAUGUGAAAGCCCACGGCUCAACCGUGGAACUGCAUCGGAAACUGUCAUUCUUGAGUGCAGAAGAGGAGAGUGGAAUUCCAUGUGUAGCGGUGGAAUGCGUAGAUAUAUGGAAGAACACCAGUGGCGAAGGCGGCUCUCUGGUCUGCAACUGACGCUGAGGCUCGAAAGCAUGGGUAGCGAACAGG
rnacentral:rRNA from 1 species